UUUCUACUGGUGACCGUGUGUCCUUCUUCCUGCCCAUCCCGAAGUGGGGCUUUAUGGUAUCUGAUGGGGGUUCAGGUGAAGGCUCAAGUAGGUCCAAGGUCACGGCAGGGGCUCUGAGACACCCCCCCCACCCCCCCCGGUCUGUACCGCCACCCGACCAGCAAGGCGCCGUGCACCCUCUGUGUGGGGUACUCGCCAGCCUCACUAGGCGUGUUCGAUGGGAACAUAGCCGCGAAUUCUCUAGCUCUGGCCAGCAACGCGAGCCGCGGAGCACUCCGGUCUUGCUGCUGAAGUCACAGCGGGCCCCGAGAAAGGUCUCAGUGGGGAGCGAUGGUCCCCGGGGCGCUUCCUGGAGCGUCAGCAGCGACAUAUGCCAUCUUCGCGUCUUGCCCCUUUGGAAACUCACAAGCAGACAAGGCAGGUCGAAGCCACUCUGACUUUGCACCACCACGCCACAGUUGAGGGACAGCAGUUUCAGGUUCCUAAACGUGUCGUGUGCCCUCGUGUGCCUCAUAUGAGCGGCCAGGUAUUUACGACAUGCGGACGGAUCACUUGAACGAACGGCAGACCUCUGUGGUCACCCUCACCUGCUUUGCUUGAACCUCCCUGCUUCCUUCUCCUUUGACUUGUGUUGGCUUUUAUUUGUGUCUGUGCUUCUGGCUAGACAAUUGUAUUUGCAGUUCCUGCAAUGUUAGACAAACCAGCACUGGAACUGACUCGGCUGUGGCUGGGAGUUUGUGAUUUUAGUGACUCGGAAGACGUCGUCGACGAGAGCCUGUCUGCUCCGCCACCUCGUUCCCAGCAGCGGGACGGGGGUUCCUGAAGGAGGGGUGAGGCUGGUGGCCGCUUUGGCUUACAGAUGGGUUCCUUGGGGCCUGAACAGAUCUUGUCUGGGCCCGGCUUAUCUGUACUGAGGUCUAGUAGCAGAACCACGGAACAGCCCCGUGUGAGGAUUCAAAAGUACUCUCUCCCCUAUAGCAUUAGCCUGAGUACUAGUAACACGGACACUGACAAUAUACUUUUGAUCGCACGCCUCCUUUGGGCGGGAGUGUUGUAAGUCUUCUCCAUCCUGUGAGAGCCCCGGAAGUCAGGUGCAAGACCCGUGCAUGGGGCUCAGAGGAUGGUGGGCAUCCCGUCGGGGCGCACCUAGGACUCUGCCAGGUGGGAACGAGACUGAGGUUGAGGUCUUCUGACUUCAAAGCCCACACUCUAGGCUGCCUUGUUGGGGAAGGCUCUGCACCCCUCAUGGCUGGUAAAACCCCAGCUUUUGAGAAACCCCUCUACCUCUUUUUUUUCUUUUUAAUAUUUAUUUAUUUUUGAGAGAAAGAGAGAGAAAGUGUGAGUAGGGAGGGGGAGAGAGAGAGAGGGAGAAUUGCAAUCAGGCUCCUCACUGUCAGUGCAGAUACUGACUCGGGGCUCAAACUCACGAACUGAGAUCAUGACUUGAGCGAAAUCAGACGCUCAACCGACUGAGCCACCCAGGCGCCCCUCUCUCUACUUUCUUAAGUUGAAACGGGACCACGGUGAUUUAUAGUUCAUCAUCCAAACCAGGACAUUCUGAGAGUGAAAGGGGCACUAUUCACAAUUCCAAGGGACAACAGGUGUGUGCGGGAGUGUCUCGGGUUGACCAGGCUAACCGGCACGUCCUACUUCCUUCAGUGAUGAAAUGCGACCCCACGGCAGAAGCAGCGUGUAGGUACCAGAGUCCCCGAGUGCAGGCCUGGCCUCGGGCAUGGCGGCUGUCCAGACUGCGUGGGAGGGGUGCCUCCAGCUGCUGCGGUGGGGAGGGACACGCAGGCCUGUGUCUCUCCUGUCCUUUCCCGUGAGCAGACUCACGGCACCUAGGGCCACAGACAGACCUGACGUUGCUCCUGCAGCUCCACUAGUGAAGAUGUAGAGGGAAAGUUCCGUAAGAGUUCAGGGGACUUACUUUGUGCCGGCUGCCACGUGAAGUGUGUUCCUCGAAUCCAUUUAAGCUUCCAGCAGUCCUGGGAGAUGCAGGUGCAUUGUUCCUGUUUUCAGAGGGGGAGUUGGCACCGAGUGAGGAAGUAGCUGGCGUCAGAUCCAAGAGUCCGUCCAAAAGCCGUGCAAAUCCACAAGACAGAGAGUAGACUAGCAGCUCCCAGAGCCUGGGGGCAGGGAAGAAUGAAUGAUGCUGACGGGUACAGGGGUUCUUUUGCAGGGGGGAGUAUGAACAUGUUUUGGGAUUAGAUGGUGGUGAUGGUGACACACCCUUGUCAGUGCAUGAAAAUCUGAACUAUAGAUGUUCAAAGUAUGAAUUUCAUGGCAUUUGAAAUAUACCUGAUAAAAAAUAAUAAAAUUUUUAAGAAUCA